rnacentral:rRNA from 1 species
UGACGAAGGGGGCUAGCGUUGCUCGGAAUCACUGGGCGUAAAGGGCUGCGUAGGCGGGUCUUUUAAAGUCAGGGGUGAAAUCCUGGAGCUCAACUCCAGAACUGCCUUUGAUACUGAGGAUCUUGAGUUCGGGAGAGGUGAGUGGAACUGCGAGUGUAGAGGUGAAAUUCGUAGAUAUUCGCAAGAACACCAGUGGCGAAGGCGGCUCACUGGCCCGAUACUGACGCUGAGGCACGGAAAGCGAUGGGGAGCAAACAGGG